UACGGGGGGGGGCAAGCGUUGUUCGGAUUUACUGGGCGUAAAGCGCACGUAGGCGGAUUUGUAAGUCAGGGGUGAAAUCCCGGGGCUCAACCUCGGAACUGCCUUUGAUACUGCAAAUCUCGAGUCCGAUAGAGGUGGGUGGAAUUCCUAGUGUAGAGGUGAAAUUCGUAGAUAUUAGGAAGAACACCGGUGGCGAAGGCGACUCACUGGACAUGUAUUGACGCUGAGGUGCGAAAGCGUGGGGAGCAAACAGG
rnacentral:rRNA from 1 species